AGAGUUUGAUCCUGGCUCAGAACGAACGCUGGCGGCAUGCCUAACACAUGCAAGUCGAACGAGACCUUCGGGUCUAGUGGCGCACGGGUGCGUAACGCGUGGGAAUCUGCCCUUGGGUUCGGAAUAACAGUGGGAAACUACUGCUAAUACCGGAUAAUGACGUAAGUCCAAAGAUUUAUCGCCCAAGGAUGAGCCCGCGUAAGAUUAGCUAGUUGGUGGGGUAAAGGCCUACCAAGGCUACGAUCUUUAGCUGGUCUGAGAGGAUGGUCAGCCACAUUGGAACUGAGAUACUGUCCAGACUCCUACGGGAGGCUGCAGUCGAGAAUCUUGGGCAAUGCACGAAAGUGUGACCCAGCGACGCCGCGUGCAGGAUGACUGCCCUCUGGGUUGUAAACUGCUUUUACGGGAGAAGAAUCAAUGACGGUACCCCGUGAAUAAGCCACGGCUAACUACGUGCCAGCAGCCGCGGUAAUACGUAGGUGGCAAGCGUUGUCCGGAUUUACUGGGCGUAAAGGGUGCGUAGGCGGCGGGGCAAGUCUGAUGUGAAAUCCCGGGGCUCAACCCCGGAACUGCACUGGAUACUGCUCUGCUAGAGAUCUGGAGAGGAAACUGGAAUUUACGGUGUAGCAGUGAAAUGCGUAGAGAUCGUAAGGAAGACCAGUGGCGAAGGCGAGUUUCUGGACAGAUUCUGACGCUGAGGCACGAAGGCCAGGGGAGCAAACGGGAUUAGAUACCCCGGUAGUCC
rnacentral:rRNA from 1 species